rnacentral:rRNA from 1 species
UACGUAGGGACCAAGCGUUGUCCGGAAUCAUUGGGCGUAAAGGGCGCGUAGGCGGCCACCGCAAGUCGACUGUGAAAUCUCCGGGCUUAACCCGGAAAGGUCAGCCGAUACUGCGGGGCUAGAGUGCAGAAGGGGCAACUGGAAUUCUCGGUGUAGCGGUGAAAUGCGUAGAUAUCGAGAGGAACACCUGCGGCGAAGGCGGGUUGCUGGGCUGACACUGACGCUGAUGCGCGAAAGCUAGGGGAGCGAACGGG